UAAAACUUUCAACAACGGAUCUCUUGGUUCUGGCAUCGAUGAAGAACGCAGCGAAAUGCGAUACGUAAUGUGAAUUGCAGAAUUUAGUGAAUCAUCAAAUCUUUGAACGCACAUUGCGCCAGCCAGUAGUCUGGCUGGCAUGCCUGUUCGAGCGUCAUU
rnacentral:rRNA from 1 species